CUACGUUAAAACCACACAACUGCUAGCUUUACAGAGCUGCCCCUCGCUGGUACUGCGUUACUUCAUAGUCAGCCGUUCUCAGACAGUUCUUCCUCCCCCACAGGAGCCUGGAAAUAGGAUGCGCUUCCCCAGCCGUUUCGUCCCGUUCUGCCCGGCAAGCAGUUUGCGUCCUUCCAGGGGCUCCGAAGAGAGAAAAGAGUAAAUGGGAUCUCCCGGUUUGCCUCUGAUGGCCUGCUUUAAUGAUGUCCAGAUAUUGAGAAUGAUGAGAAGACAUGGCAUUAUCUAGUAGGAUGAGGAAGCUAUCCAAACAGACAUGGAGUAAUCCAGCACAAUGCAGCUGUAAUGGAAGGACUUCCUGUCAUUUUGGAGCAGUAGCAGCCUUACCUGGGGAGAAACUGGAGCUGCAUCACUGAUGCCAUUUCCGUACUGUGUUUGCUCUCAGGAAAGGGAAUCCAUUGAUGAAUUAGUGCAACAAGCCCACCGGCCGUGAAAGAAUACUCCUUACAAAAAAAUCCACGGGUGACUUCUAGGCCAGAUAGGUCAUUCCUCACCCUCAGUGGUAAGCAGUGCAAGCAGUCUUUGAGGUCUGGGGAAAACUGCUUGGUAUACCUGGAAAUCAGUCUAAUUAUUUAGGCAUCUAAAUACAGAAUUUUGAAUUUAACACUAUGCAUCUUAUAAACAAACAAAAAAGAAAAAUUAAUUUCAGCUGAGGCUAUUUUAGUCUUGAAUCAUGCUUUUCUACCACAUUUCAGUAAUGUGUGCCAUGCAUCUCAUUACCUUUGCUUUUCUGGGCUUUUUCUUUUAAAUUUUUCAGUCAUCGUACAGUGUUAUUUAGAUCUAACUCAGCACCCUUUCAUCAUGCUGAGUGGUUCCAGUGAAUAAUGGUUGUAGGACUGGCCUGCUAGUAAUUCAGGGUUGCUGUCUUUUAUCUUGAAAAUGAAAUACCUCUACUGGACUUAAGAGUUGCUUGCCUUAUGUAUGUCGUGUGUGUAAAUAAUAUGGACUAGAUGUACCAGGUCAGUGCAGACACAGUGCAAUCCUUUUUAAAAAAAGUUCAGCCAGUCAUUAAUAYUUUGUAUUGUAGGAGACAAUUUCCACAUUUAACUGAAUCUUGAGUUUAAUAUCUUAAUUUCAGCUAUGUACAAUCCAGAUAAAGGAUUCAUGUCUGUACUCAUUUUGUACACACUCUUGAUACAGCGUUUGAAAGUCAGAUGAGCCUUCAAAAUUUGCAAGU
rnacentral:lncRNA from 1 species